UUUUGGCUCUCGCAUCGCCUUGUUUUCGUCUGUCAAGUCCUUUUUUUCCUCUCUCUUUCACGACGUCCGAAACGAUAAGCGAUCUAUACCGCACAAAAAAGAAAAGAAAAGAAAGACUUAGCCGUUCGUCGCCUUCUCUCCUGUCAUCUACCGAAAAAAAAAAAGACUUGUCUUAUGCAAAUGUGUGCGUGCGGUCUUUUUUUUCUAGUAUAUCUCUAUGGUCGCUAGGCUUUUUCAUCCCUAUUGUGUCUAACAUGGUCGACAUGCUCAACUGCGUUUGACCAGUGCCGCUAAACAAUCAUUUCUAUGCUAUUGCCACUAUACGAUGAAAAUCUACUACACCAACUCUCGAUACUUGACUGCUGAAUUCGUGAUUUCCACGUCGAGGAAGAGAGGCAAAGCGGUAGUUCUCCAUGACUACGCCGUUUCCCCGAUAAAAAAUCGAUUAACGAUCGCCGAUAUCCGCACAUGACUUUUCAAACCAAAACAUUGAUUCCUCAACGUCGUUACGAUAAGCUUAAUGCCUUAUAAAAAAAAAUGAAAUCGGAGGAAAAACCGCAUCCUGUUGUUUUAAAAUCGUGUAAUCAAUUGGUCGAUGUCCGCAAAUCGAUUUUUUUUUACUGAAUGGACAUCUUGCUAUUUAUGAUGGCCGUCAUCGGUACCAAAGAUGAGUUUACACUGAAAUAAAGAAGGCCUAUUUCGUGUUAGAUAACA